CAGAUCUAUAAAAAUAAGAUUGACCAUAGCUUUACCAGAAAAGCAUAUUUAGAAAAGGAUGGAUAAUUCCAUUGUGACUCAAUCAUGUCUUCCAUGAUUUUAAAAAUUAGAGUUACAUCUCAUUGUGUACUUUCCCCUUCAGAUUGUAUCAGUCAUUCUAUGAGUCAUGGAGAUUAGUUAUCUUGCUCUCAAUCUGCUUGUAUGCUGGUGGUCUAGUUUAUACUGUUUGCUACUGGGACAAUGUGAUGUCAUAAAGAUAGUCUUUGACUUCAGAAACUUAGGGUGAUUCUAAUUAGCUUCAAAGGCUUCCAUGGAGUGUGGUGGGGGCAGGACAAGUUACACCUCUGCCUUUGUAAAAUCACUUAAAUUGUUCCUACGUUCCCUUUAAGGCUCUAUAACUACAUGAUUUGUCCCAUUAACUCACCCUCUUCUCCUAUCACUGCCUCAGUCACUCUGUAUACACCACGCCCCUCUUCUUCCAUUUCUUAAAGAUGGCAAGCUCAUUUCCAACACAACGUUUUUGGUUUGGAACAUUGUUCCCAGAUUUCCACCCGGUUCAUUCUCUACUUCAUUUGGAUGUCUAUUCAGCUAUCACCAUCUCAAAGAAGCCUUUCCUAACCACUCUUGAGAAACAUGUCACCAGCCUCAUAAUCAAUCUCCAUCAUUCUAUUUAAUUAUUUCUUCUUUGACUUUCAAUAUCUGAUGUUUUGUGUACAUUUACUUAUUUUCAUUGAUUAUGUUUUCUCCUCUAGAAUAUAAGCUCACCUGGAACAGGAUUUUCAUGUUUUACCUUACCACUAUGUCUCUAGUAUUAUAUAUCUAGAGUCCAAAAGAGAUAGAUGUAGAAAUAAUUUAAGGAAUUAAUGUAAGAAAUAUGGUAGCUAGUUACUAAAGAUCUUACAACACAGAAUGAGAAAAAUUUACAACCACCAACAUAGAGUAGGUAAGCAAAGGAGACUGUGGUAUUCCAUGUCAAGUUUCUGUCUCUCUCUUUGCUUUGCUUUUUUUUUUUUUUUUGCUUUUUAGGGCUGCACCCACAGAAUAUGGAAGUUCCCAGGCUAAAAGUCAAAUCAGAACUCUGGCUACCAGCCCACACCACAGCCACAGCAACACAGCAAAGCAGGAUCUGAGCCAAGCCUGCAAACUACACCACAGCUCAUGGCAAUGCCGGAUCCUUAACCCACUGAAUGAGGCCAGGGAUUGAACCCACAUCCUCAUGGAUCCUAGUCGGGUUCGUUACUGCUGAGCCAUGAUGGGAACUCCAAGUUUCUGUCUCUUUCUGAUUCCUGGCUUAUAGUGGGGGCUUAACAGUAUCUAUUUUUCUGUGGGGUGGGAGGGCUGCACCCAGGGCAUAUGGAAGUUCCUGGGCUAGGGGCUGAAUUGGAGCUGUAGCUGCCUGCUUACACCACAGCCACAGCAACGCUGGAUCCGAGCCACAUCUGUGACCUAAACCACAGUUCAGGGCAAUGACAGAUCCUUAACCCACUGAGCAAGGCCAGUGAUUGAACCCACAUUCUCAUGGAUACUAGUCGGGUUCUUUAACCACUGAGCCAUGACCAGGAAUUCCAACAAUACCUAUUUUUGCAUGAAUGAUUAAAUGCCUCAAAUUAAGAGUUGGGACUAGACAAUUUCCAAUGGUUUCUCUAGUUCUAAAAUUUUACAAGUCUUUAAAAUCUUAAGGGCCAUCAAUGUUGUGAAAUAAGAUGUUGCUGGAAUUCUCUGAGAUCCUAGACUAGGGGAAUUCUCUCAAUAUCAUACUGACGAGAGGGAAUGUUUAGGGAAGUAAUAAGCUUGUGUCUUUUUUUUUUUCUCUUUUCCACUGGAAAAAGCCAGGGAAGAUAUAAAAAAGAAUCAGAGUGUUUUCAUAGUGGAAACUGGGCUAAACCAGGGAAGGUGUGCUCCCUAUUUUUCAAAGUGCCCUUGUUGGCAAAUAGGUAGAGAAGUUUGAGAGUUAACAGCUGUCACAGUUGCAGAGAAGGUCAGGCUUGCGUUUUGCAUUCCAACACACCUCUUUCUUCCUGAGUCCACUUUUCACCCCAUUUAUUGCAGUCUAGCUAUUGAAUUUCCUCGUGCUGCUGCUUGCCUUUUAAAUCUUUCCCCUCCCUGACUAUUCUACUGCUCUGCAGAGAGAUUUAUCUUGUUGCUUUCUCACCCAGCUGGAGUUCCAAUACCCUCAUUCUCAUGGUAGCCCAACCAGUUAAAAGUAUUCAUAUUAAAGGGUUAAUGGGACCUAAAGAAAUUUUGCAUUUUGUAAAAAUGGUCCAAUGUCUUUCCUAGUCUUCUAGGAGCUGACAUUCAUGGAAUUAAGGCUGUAGUCUCUCUUUCUCACACACAUCCACAGACACACAAAGCCUACUGCCCUGAAAAGUUACCCUGCAAGCUUGGAUGCAAUAAACAAAAGCAUGCCUUGGUAGGAAUCCUAAGUGAGCAAUCAUGGCUGUCUACAUGCUAAGAGCCUCAUGUAUCUCCUGAUAUUCAUAGGUUUGGAGGUACAAUCUUUGACGUUUUUCUAAUCAGAUCAAACUAGCAAAUAAGGUUUUCAGAAAAUGGUAUUUCCUAAACAUUGCAAUUUUUAUGGUCUUAAGGAACAGGGUGCAGAAAUAUGUACUCUGACUUAAUAAAGUAACUAAGUAGUAAGCAUCUCUUAGAAAUUAUCUUGACAUGCAGCCAGAGCAGAGACCCUCAUUCUCACUUUGCCAUUAAAGUAUUUUAUCCCUAAUCCUGGAUUUCAAAGACAAGUGGUGAUGAGGAGUAGGAUGGAUUUCAGCAUCUAUGUAACUUUCCUGGAGAGUUUUGAGAUUACCAAGGGGAGAGGGCCUACAAAAAGACAAGGUUGUUAAUUUGCAUCAGGGCCCUCAUAAUUUGGUGUAAAAAUGAUAAAGUGACAUCAUUGUAUAACUCAAGAUGCUUACACUGGAAAAAGGCACUUAUUAAAAAAGUGAGGCCAGUGUCCAAUGGUAGCCCUGGACUUGAGGGGGAACUGAGUUUUAGCAGAGAGCCUUGCAACAGUGACUUGAUAUCGAGUUCCUUUGGGGUGUGAGCAGUGAACCUAGGACAGAGCAUAUGCCUUGGAGUUAAAGCAGACCUUGAAGAUCAGAAUUUCCAGGGAAAGGGUCCAGGAGUCUGGAUUUUUAAUGCACACCUCAGGUGACUAUGAUGCAUCACCAGAUCUAAGAUCACUUCCUGGAAGCACCUCAUCUAGUGGAGCAGAAAAAGGCUGGGGGAGUGUAGACUGAUUUCUAGAAUCAGAAAGAAUAUGAUCCCUAGAAAAUAGGGAAAGGCUGUGCUGGUUUGCAGUCGGGGAUGAGAAUAUGUGAGAGGACUUGCACAGCUGUGGGGCAGGAGUAAGACAGUCUUUAGAAAAAAAUUAUUAUUAUUAUUAUUAUUUUGUCUUUUUUAUUUGCCUUUCCUAGGGCUGUACCCAUAGCAUAUGGAGGUUCCCAAGCCAGGGGUCUAAUCGGAGCUGUAGCCACCAGCCUAUGCCAGAGCCACAGCAACGCCAGAUCCGAGCUGUGUCUGCGACCUACACCACAGCUCAUGGCAACGUCAGAUCCAUAACCCACUGACUGAGGCCAAGGAUCGAACCUACAACCUCAUGGGUCAUAGGCAGAUUCAUUAAACACUGAGCCACGACAGGAAAUUCCAGAAAAUAUGUUUUAAAGAUCUGACUUCAUUGCAUUUAUUGAGAUGUAAUUUACAUGCAAUAAAAUACAUAAAUUCUACUGUAGAGUUUGGUGAGUUUUGAAAAAAAUAUAUUCUCCUGUGUAACAACAACCCUAAUCAUGCUGUAGAACAUUUGCAACCCAUGGAAAAUCUCCUACAUGCUACUAUGAACUCAAUCUCCUGAUCAGCUGGAUCCAUACUCCUGGCGACCACUAUUCUUUCCAUCAUUUUACAUUGGUUUUGUCUGUUCUUGAAAUGUGUAUAUAAAGGAAUCACACUGUACAUAUUUUCUUUUGUGUCAGAAUAUUUUUGCUCAGCAUAAUGUUUUUGAGACUAAAUUAUGUUGCAUAUUUUAGUAUUCCAUUGUAUGAAUGUGGGAUGCUUCCACUUUUGUGCUACUAUGAUUAAAGUUUAUAUAAAUAUCUUAUAUGCCUGGAAGUUCCUAGGGUUGGGAUUGAACCAGUACUGACAAUGCUGAAUCCUUAAUUGCUAGGCCAUGAGCAAAUGCCCUCUUAUGGGCUUGUAAGAUUUUUGUGCAUACAUGUUUUCACUUCUCUUGAGUAAAUCUGGAUCAUGCAGUUGGUACAUGUUUAACAUUGUAAGAAAUUGCUGAUUUUCUGUACAUUUUUGCAUUCCCACUAGCAGUAUAAGAAUUUCAGAUGCUUGACAUCCUUGACAAUAUCUGGUAUAGUAUUAAGUCUUUAAUUUCAGCCUUUCUAGGGACUAUAUGGUGUCUCAUUUUGUUGUAAUUUGGAUUUCCCUAAUGACUAAUGGUAUUGAACAUUUUUUUUUCAAGUGUGUGUUUGCCAUGUGUGUAUUUUCUUUUGCGAAGUACUGGUUCAAAAUUUUGCCUAUUUAUUUUGGAGGUUGUUCGGCUUCUUAUAACUGAAUAGAAUUCUUCAUAUAUGCAGGAUAUUAAUCCCUUGUCAGAAAUACCUACUGUGAAUAUUUUAUGCUGUCUGUAGCUUACCUUUUCUUUUCUUAAUGGUAUCUUUCUAAAAGCAAAAGAUCGUUACUUUGCUUAAAUCCAAGUUAUCAUUUCAUUCAUUUUAUAUCAUUUUAUUUUGUGUCCUAAGUACAACAAUCUUUGCUUGCACUCCAAGGUCCCAAAUAUUUUUAUCGUAAGCUUUAUUCUAGAAGUUUCAUAUUUCAGACUUUUAUAUAUAGGUCUCAGCUCCAUCUUCAGUUAACUUUUCUUAUGACCUAGCAUUCAAAUUUCUUUUAUCUACUGUUUUAGUUAGGGUUCGCCAGAGAAUGAACAGAACACACAUCUAAAGUUUAUCUAUCUCUAUCUAUAUGUCUAUCUCUACCUCCAGUGUUAGAUUUCUUUUAGGAAGU
ensembl:lncRNA